UUUAAAAAAUUAGUGAGCUUUACUCAUUUCUGCUUACUUUGUUGACCUUACUUUAAGAAACUUAGUAAAGAACACUUUUUGGUGAGUAAAGUUAUUAAACUUAUUAUCUCAAGUAAGCUUUACUUUAAAAAAAUGAGUGAGGCGGACUCGGAAGAAACUCGGGUGCACUCGGCAGCACUCGGCUCGAAUACGCAUGCGCAGUCGACCACUGAAGACGUUCUUUGCUCGAGACGGAUUGGCGGCAGCGAGAAGGCAGUGCAGGUGUGCGAGUUACUUUCAGGCUUUGAAAAACCUGGCAAUGAAUUAUUCUGGCUGAGUUCUGUUGCUUAUCAAGCAAAAAUCUGAGUUGCAAUCAGAGUUCUUCAAAGAUCUCGACAAAUACACUCCUCGCUUCCUGGAGAAGUUCAAGACCCAGAGGGGGAAAGUGUCGGACAGAAACUUGAAUAUCUGCAACAAGUCACACCUGGGAGUACAGAUGUGAAUGGGAGGUGAACAGCAGUCCUCCGUGGCUCUCCCUUCAUCCUUGGAGAUGACAACGCAGACUUCUUCAAGAAUUUGUGUGAGUUUAGGAUGGCGUGAAGCUUCGACUUGACCCUAUGGAAACACAGCAGAUGCCACCAAAGGGUCCUGAUCGGGGACUCUGAUGACCUUCUGGACGUGUCCCACACCUCCAUUGGGACCCUGACGGUGCUGAAGACAUCGUGGCCUCCUCACUCGCUGGACCUGGAGUCUACAACUACUGCCAUCGUUUUGGGAGGAACAGUCGUGAUGGGUGACCGUGAUACUCUUCCCCGUGCCGUGUGGCUACUCUUCUGACUUAUUUACCCCUGAAUUUGGAGUAUCCUCAACGAGUGAGGAAGACCUUCUGAAUUUAUUCAUAGAGUGCUUCUCACUUGGACCAAAAACCCUAAAAUACAAUCACUCAAAAAUCUACUGAUGCCAUAAGGGACUGUGUUCAUGAUGUGCAGUCAGGCCCGAGAACGUCACCCUUCUAUCUCCAAUAGAACUCUUUUAUAUAAAAUGUCUGUUUUUGUUGUUUUUCUGUAGUGAAAUUUAGCAAAUGCCGAAAACGCUGUGUUCAUCAUAUUUCUGCGUUACAAAACCUAAUCUGGCAACAUGUUCAGCAUUUUAAGCACGUUGUUUGAGUUUUAAAACAUGUGUUUUUCUUCUAAAUAAACGUUGUCUUCCA